UCCUUUUCCAUCCUGCGUCUGAUGUUUAUGAACUUCUGUGGAAGCUUAUUCUUCUUGCUGCCUCCUGGGGAGUUUCUAUUUUUCUCUUGUUCGUCUGGAGGACCGUCCUUGCUGUAAAGCCUCCAGUGUGUCAAGUUACUUUAAAGCAGAUGACUGAGCAGAGCAAGAAUUUGGAGAAUGAAAACAGAGAACUUGCAGAAAAUAUAUCUGCUUGGGUG